rnacentral:rRNA from 1 species
CAGCCGCCGCGGGAAUACGAAGGGUGCAAGCGUUACUCGGAAUUACUGGGCGUAAAGCGUGCGUAGGUGGUGGUUUAAGUCCGUUGUGAAAGCCCUGGGCUCAACCUGGGAAUUGCAGUGGAUACUGGAUCACUAGAGUGUGGUAGAGGAUAGUGGAAUUUCCGGUGUAGCAGUGAAAUGCGUAGAGAUCGGAAGGAACAUCUGUGGCGAAGGCGACUAUCUGGGCCAACACUGACACUGAGGCACGAAAGCGCGGGGAGCAAACAGGAUUAGAUACCCCUGUAGUCCCUGUCUCUUAUAA